GACGAACGCUGGCGGCGUGCUUAACACAUGCAAGUCGAACGGAAAGGCCCUGCUUUUGUGGGGUGCUCGAGUGGCGAACGGGUGAGUAACACGUGAGUAACCUGCCCUUGACUUUGGUAUAACUUCAGGAAACUGGGGCUAAUACCGGAUAGGAGCUCCUGCUGCAUGGUGGGGGUUGGAAAGUUUCGGCGGUUGGGGAUGGACUCGCGGCUUAUCAGCUUGUUGGUGGGGUAGUGGCUUACCAAGGCUUUGACGGGUAGCCGGCCUGAGAGGGUGACCGGCGACAUUGGGACUGAGAUACGGCCCAGACUCCUACGGGAGGCAGCAGUGGGGAAUAUUGCACAAUGGGCGGAAGCCUGAUGCAGCAACGCCGCGUGCGGGAUGACGGCAUUCGGGUUGUAAACCGCUUUCGCCUGUGACGAAGCGUGAGUGACGGUAAUGGGUAAAGAAGCACCGGCUAACUACGUG
rnacentral:rRNA from 1 species